AAUCAAGGCUGUGGGAUUGUGCGUGACGUCAUGUUUGUUUGGGUGUGUGAGUCGUGGCCUUGGUAUAAUCUGUUGUAAGCGGCCAGCACCACAGAUACAGCUGGAGAACGGAUCACAGCACAACACUGCAGAAAACAAAUGACGAACAGCAGCCGGCGCAUGCGCACAACGAAUUAAAGGUGGGGAAGAUCCUGACUAGCUGAGUCAUUGUUUGCAGCAGCAUUUGUUAUGAUUCUUAGGAAUACUGAACAGUUGACCAUCUCCCAUCCCGUGCACGUUCAUGCCUGUUGAUGAGGGGAUGACGAACACGCAUAUUUUGUUGGUCUGCAUGGUGCUGCCAUCUAGUUUGAAACAUCUGAACUUACACGAAAAAGUUACAUCGCAUUUUUGAAAGAAAAGAACAUCCAGAGUGUUUAAAAUUUCGUCAUAAAAUUGCAAUAUUUCAAGAAAGUGGUGAGAACAUUCUGCGCAAUGAAAGGAUCAACGUAAGCAAUUCUAAGGAUUCAAGAUUACGGGGAACCAUGGAUUUGGAAGACAUAAACUUGAAACAGUCAUACACCCCGUGGAAGGCUUACCGUCAGAGCAAACUUGCAAAUCUGUUGUUCACCAAGGAACUAGCAAGAAGGCUUCAAGAAAUUGUAGUGAAAAGACAUCGUCUAGCGAAUCCCGUGACCCCGAGGUGGCCAGAAAACUUUGGGAGAUUAGCAAGAAGAUGGUGGGUCUGGAAAAUGGGAACCUCUCCACUGUGGAUGACGUAACAGCUCGUCUAGACCAAUGGUAGACAAACCUGGGGUACGCGAAGACAUCUC